CCGCCGGCAUAACGCGGAACCAACGGUUGGCAACAUUCAUUCGCGCGUCAUUGCUUCGUCCUCGUCGUCUCCGCAACGACAGUCGCCAUCUUCUCGCGCCUAACGUGUUGUAUGGUUUUGUUCUCUGCAAUCCGCGCACACAGCUCAUCGGUGUCUGCACGUCUGCUCGGCGUCGCAAUGCGGCCUGCGUCAUUUUCUGGUGCUCGCGCAAUCGGUGUGAAACAUGUCGCAUGUGAAAUGUUUGAUAGAAGUGCCUCACGUUCAAGUCAAGCCGCCGUACGGGUGUAUGGCUGUGCGCCCCGUUCUCGGAAGCGUCGACGGGUUUCCGGCAUGCGGAUUUCAGCGUUUGGACUCUACUUUUGGUGAGGAUGUCGCUCGACCUUGGGACUGGCGACAGCACACCCGACAUCGCCAAAGUGCAGCCUAUCAGUUGAGUGCCCCCGAAUGGACCAUCAGCAUUGGAAAAUGAAGCGAAGCCAGGGGGAAAAGGUUCCGGUAACACUGCAUUCAGUAUGGUGGCCCAGACGUGUAUGCAAGCAACCUCCUUCAUGUGGACUAAGAACUACUCUGCAGUGUCUCAGACUUCCAUGCGAAGCCCUCAACAUUCUCGUCUCAUGGAAUGGCUGCUCAUCUAUCUGCGUUUCCAUCACCAAGAUGGCCAGUUGUAAAGCUCCUGUACCCGUUCAAGACAGCUUAAUGAUCUUUUUUAUUUAGUUUUCGUGGUUGGCCGUAGAAUCUUAACAUUUUUGAUGUUUCUAACGUUUUUACCUGGCCCAAAGUGGUGCAAUAACUUUAAACCAGUGUAAUGUAUUUAAGUGAUGCUCACUCUAAUGCCUAUCUGGUUUUGUUUGUGUUUAAGAAAUUUGAAUGUCUGAUGAGGUAACAGCAUUUAAACUUGUCAUCGUGGCUAUUUUCAGUGACCUGCUAGGAAAUAAGAUGCAAAACUUAUCACACGCCAGUUGUAGCAUUUUUGUUUUCAAGACUAAAGUAUACAUGUUUCAAAAGAUGGAAAGUGGGGAAAAAAGCCUCAAGAACAUAAUCAUCCUAGGAUUGUCAUGUCCUUACAACUCUGCAAUGACUAAUGCCUCAUACAUCUUUGGAGCACAUUGGUCGCAAUGCCUACAGGUAUACUUGAUAAGAGAAUAGCUUGCACUCAGAUUUGCCACGCAGUUGAUGGCUGAUAGCUUUUGUUUGUCGUUUUCAUGUUACUACUAUGUAUUCAAUAUUCAUUUACAUGUGCUGCGGUUUUUUGCAGUCACACACACACACACACACACACACACACACAUAUAUAUAUAUUCUUCGUUUCAAUAAAAAUUUAGUUAAGAGUUAGCGCUCAUCCUGUCUGCUUCUAGUCUGUGUCCGUGUCACUUCGCGCUACAAUCCAAGAUCAGGUUACUGUACCAACUUGCCCGACUUUUUAUCCUUGUGUUAAAGACACACUCAGACUUGUUCUUACUUAUGUGACCGGUUAUUUUUGUGCUUUAUAAUAAGAUGCAGUGCUUUUCAAAUGGAAACAUGUGAUAGUUCGUAGUGAGGUUAUUUAAAAAAACUGUUCUGCUUAAAAUUUAAUUGAGCAAGCCUGUGCCAUUAUUCGGUGCUUAUGUCUUUGUAUUGGUAUGGUUUUACUCAUCUUCCUUUUUACUUUUAAAAUGUGCAAACAUUAUGUAACCAUUUCUCUUGAAUGAAAUAAAUACUUCUGACAUUUCGUCACAAAUUUUACAAUGAUUUUGUUCAAUUAGGUAACCUUAGACUAGCUGAUUGUUAUUCUGGUAGCUUAACUUACAAUGCCUGUAGAAUAUUCAAUGCAAGCACAUGGUGAAAAAUACACUAAGUUAUUGGGUAUAAGCAGGUCACUGUCAGUAAAUGGAGCAUACGUAUAUUUCAGAAAAUAUUGCAUGCUUACAUAUUGAACAGCAUGCACAGCUACACAUGCUGUUUUGUUCGUAAAUGCUGAAAGAUUAUUCGACGUGGAAGCACUUUGUUCUUGGGCUUUCAGUGCUACCUUUAAGUCAUAUAUGUGAAGGUACUAGUAGAAGCAUCCCGUGGAGAUAAAUGACAACUUUGAUGAAUAGAGGUAUAAAAUAUGUGCUUAAAACGGCAAAAAACUGCUUGACAGGCAAACGUAUGCUUCUGUAGUACUGCACUUGUUACCGUCGCCAAUACAUGCAUUGCUUGCGCUCUAUUGCAUUCAAUAUGAGCUACAGCAGCGAGCUGUGGUGUCUUUCCCUCCUGGUCGAGCUGGUGUUGCGAAAAUUUUUGACCAAGAAAAGGAGGUUUUUAAUCAUUUCUGAAAUGCAUGUAACUAUGCUUUUGGCUGUGUGCUGUUUCCACGGAGUUAUAAGUACUGGUGCACC